GGUAAGGUACCUCAGUGGUAGAGUGCUUGCCUCGCAUGCAUGAGGCCCUGGGUUCAAUUCCUCAGUACCA
rnacentral:tRNA from 1 species